GAAUAGUUAAUCAGGGGGAUUAGCACUCGGGCCCGUGGGAAGGUAGCCACGGCCAUCCUGAGUGCCCCUUGGAGCUGCUUAAUAGCGGUCUCCUUAACUUUCUGCUCACGAUGGUUGAUCCCAAAGGCUAGAACCAACACUUCAACCGGUGCAGCAAUUACGGUCUUGCGUAGGAUGGCCUCCGCGUGUCUAAAACUGGCGCCCGGGUAACUGUCGAUCUGAAGGUCGUCGACGUAAAAAGGUGGUAGGUGGGACAGAUUGGAGUCGCCGAUCACCAAGAAUUUCUUGUUGGCCGACAACUUCCAAUCCAUCAUCCUCCUACUCGAGACCAUGUGUCUAGUGGGUCUACGGGGGGAGGCACUAGUCGUAUCCUCUACCAACUCGACACAUUCUGGAAUAGACAGGUGUUGUGGAGUAUCUGGGACGGAAGGCCUCUUGUGUGGCUUCCUUUUUAGUGCCCCAGGGAACAAAUGUGCCCAAUCGGGGGACUCCUGAGGAAGCAUCUCCUGAGGGGGCGUCUCCUGAGGAGGCGUCCGCUGCAAGGGCUGGAGAGGGGACCAGUCGGGGGUCGCGGAAGAGUAACGAGGGGACAUCACCGAAGAAAGCCCCCGCUCCUGUUCUUCAUCCCGAAAGUCGAUCAGGAGAGGCGAGGAGACCGUGGGUCCCCCUGGUGAUCCCAGAGGAAGCCUCCUGCGAGAUGCAGGAAUAAGCUGGGUGGGCGGAGCCUCGCCGAGGGUGUCCUGGGCAGGCCCGCUGUCCGUGGCCCGGGGCUGUGUCACCCUCUGCUCCUUGGGUGGUUCCGGUCGACGAGGAAGGAAGAUCGGGGCAACCCGUGCUGGAGGGAUUGCAUCCCGAUCCACCUCAGGAGACCAAUCUGGAGCCACGGCGUCGGUGCUGGUAGCCACCGAGACCCGGGCGACGACCCGAGCCGGAGGGCUGCUAGCCCGUACCACCCCAGGAGCCCCGUCAGGGCCCGUAGGGUCAGUAUGGGUGCCCACCGAUACCCGGGUGGCGGUCUGGACCGGCAAGGACUGGGCCGGGCGUACCACCUCCGCGUUGACAGGGGGGUCGGCGAAGGCCGCGACGAUCAGAGCCUCGGCCUUCCCGAGGGUGUCCCCCAUCAGUCUGCGUCCCAGAUGUUUCUUGGCCCAUGUAGAGGCCAGCUGAAAAGCGGGUCUCCAAACCUCGUCAA